CCCUUAGAUGUUCUGGGCCGCACGCGCGCUACACUGAUUCAUGCAACGAGUUUUGUCCUUGGCUGAAAGGCCUGGGUAAUCUUUGAACGUGAAUCGUGCUGGGGAUAGAUGAUUGCAAUUAUUCAUCUUCAACGAGGAAUUCCUAGUAAACGCAAGUCAUCAGCUUGCAUUGAUUACGUCCCUGCCCUUUGUACACACCGCCCGUCGCACCUACCGAUUGAAUGGUCCGGUGAAAUCUUCGGAUCUGAGAGAUGUUGGAUUAAUUUCUGACGCCUUUUGGAAAAGUUGCUUAAACCUUAUCAUUUAGAGGAAGGUGAAGGCGUAACA
rnacentral:rRNA from 1 species